rnacentral:rRNA from 1 species
UACAGAGGUCCCAAGCGUUGUUCGGAUUUACUGGGCGUAAAGGGUGCGUAGGUGGUCGGGUAAGUCUCAUGUGAAAUCCCGCAGCUUAACUGCGGAACGGCAUGGGAUACUAUUCGGCUCGAGGAUUGGAGGGGGGACUGGAAUUCCCGGUGUAGCAGUGAAAUGCGUAGAUAUCAAGAGGAACACCAGUGGCGAAGGCGAGUCCCUGGACAACACCUGACACUGAGGCACGAAAGCUAGGGGAGCAAACAGG